rnacentral:lncRNA from 1 species
UCAACUUUGGGCCUUAACAAAAGGGACAGAAAUUCUUGUCUAAUGUACAUGGAACUCAGGUGUUGAUAUGGUUUGGCUGUGUCUCCAUCCAAAAUCUCAUCUUAAUUGUAGUCCCUAUAAUCCUCAUAAUUCCCACGUGUCAAGAGAGAUACCAGGUGGAGGCUUUAUUCUUAGGCUCAGCGUGAUGCCCCUAGUAACCUCAGGAUGACAUUUUCUCGGCACCCAGCCUCAGGAAAGAGAGAUUCCACUUCUCCAAUGGGUCAAACAACAGUCGUAGAACUGAGCCUUAUGGACAUCGUCUGUCUAACUUAGACCACUGUCCUUCUUGGAGCCAAUCACUGUGACUGGUGAAAUGAGUAUGCCUGAUUUUGACAAGCACACAAAAGAGGGCUCUAAAAAGAGGCUCUUUUGGAAACUGUCUAGACGAAGUGUCAGGACCAGGACAUGUGACUAAACUUCGACCAACCAGAUGCUACAGAGAAGCAGCAGCGAUUUAGAAUUUAUUCCACCAAUGCCAAUGGUAGAAGUGGCAUUCAAUAUCCAGUCAUGGCAGUAGUGGUGCCAGUGAUGGUGUCCAUAAUUCAGUCAAGUUGGUGCGGCUUGACGUACGGUGAUAGCAGUGGCAGCAGGAACAGCAUCCUGCUCCAACUUCAGAUUACUUAAGCCUCCCACAUAGCUUUGGUUUACAAAGUUUCCUCAAAGAUAGUAUAAGUGAUAGAAAUGAAAAUACUAAGAUGGCUCACACCCUCAUCUUUGGCCCCUCUCUCCUACCCUCCUGAAGUCUAGAAGAUAACUUGCAGGUAUUUUAGCAAUGCAUGGCUAAUGGUAUACUUAGGUGCCUGAAGAAAUCCUGCUUCUGCUUUCCCUUUGGUUCUCUGGCUCAGAAGACUGCCAUGGUUUGGGGUACAAUGUAAUAUGGUAAAAGUUUCCCUUAUUUUUCAACACGGAAAUUAAUUAUACAUAACCACUCUGGAACUGAAGUUCAGCUUCUGGUCACAUUGCCUUUUCCUGAUAAGCUCCAACCCAGCUGCACCUGCUGCUGGCAUUUUCACAGUGAUGGCCAUGAUGGGAGCCUAUUCUUUACUGCCACUUAGCUCAAUGUAGCUAAUGUUGAAAGGAAAAUAAUUCACACUACUGUAUUUUGUAAUGCAGCAUGAUGGAGAGGUGUAGCUAUGACCAGAUAUUCACCAGCCUAGAAUUAGCUUUGAGGAGAGUAUUUCUAGGUAGUAGAUGCAGCUCUGCAUGUCCAACUACCUGCUCUAGAACUCUGCUGCAAUAACGUAAACUACCAAAUUCUUUCGGUAGCUCCAACCUGGAGACAAGGCGACCCAAAGAGUAGGAAUAAAACAAGUUAACACUAAAUGAGGAAUCAGAAGAUGGGUUUAGCACUGACUGUCUCUGGAUGGCUCCAUGAGCUGGCUGAAGCUAUUGAACUAUCUGGGUACUGGUUUAAUCAGAUAUCAAUGAUAGAAAUAUGAAUAGUGUCUACUUUAUAGGCUUUAUAGUCUCUGUUCCUUGAGUACUGAACGCUUGUCUUUUUUUUGUUGUGAAUUUUAAAUAAUUAAAUUU